CUGCUCAGGACGAACGCCGGCGGCGUGCUUAACACAUGCAAGUCGAACGAUGACGGUGGUGCUUGCACCGCCUGAUUAGUGGCGAACGGGUGAGUAACACGUGAGUAACCUGCCCUCCACUUCGGGAUAACCUCGGGAAAUCGUGGCUAAUACCGGAUAUGAGCACUCAUCGCAUGGUGAGUGCUGGAAAGAUUUAUCGGUGGGGGAUGGACUCGCGGCCUAUCAGUUUGUUGGUGAGGUGAUGGCUCACCAAGACGAUGACGGGUAGCCGGCCUGAGAGGGCGACCGGCCACACUGGGACUGAGACACGGCCCAGACUCCUACGGGAGGCAGCAGUGGGGAAUAUUGCACAAUGGGCGAAAGCCUGAUGCAGCGACGCCGCGUGGGGGAUGACGGCCUUCGGGUUGUAAACCCCUUUCAGUAGGGAAGAAGCGAGAGUGACGGUACCUGCAGAAGAAGCGCCGGCUAACUACGUGCCAGCAGCCGCGGUAAUACGUAGGGCGCAAGCGUUGUCCGGAAUUAUUGGGCGUAAAGAGCUUGUAGGUGGCUUGUCGCGUCUGCCGUGAAAACCCGAGGCUCAACCUCGGGCGUGCGGUGGGUACGGGCAGGCUAGAGUGUGGUAGGGGAGACUGGAACUCCUGGUGUAGCGGUGAAAUGCGCAGAUAUCAGGAAGAACACCGAUGGCGAAGGCAGGUCUCUGGGCCAUUACUGACACUGAGAAGCGAAAGCAUGGGUAGCGAACAGGAUUAGAUACCCUGGUAGUCCAUGCCGUAAACGUUGGGCACUAGGUGUGGGGGACAUUCCACGUUUUCCGCGCCGUAGCUAACGCAUUAAGUGCCC
rnacentral:rRNA from 1 species